rnacentral:rRNA from 1 species
AUGAACGCUGGCGGCGCGCCUAACACAUGCAAGUCGAACGGCACCCACCUUCGGGUGGAAGCGAGUGGCGAACGGCUGAGUAACACGUGGAGAACCUGCCCCCUCCCCCGGGAUAGCCGCCCGAAAGGACGGGUAAUACCGGAUACCCCGGGGUGCCGCAUGGCACCCCGGCUAAAGCCCCGACGGGAGGGGAUGGCUCCGCGGCCCAUCAGGUAGACGGCGGGGUGACGGCCCACCGUGCCGACAACGGGUAGCCGGGUUGAGAGACCGACCGGCCAGAUUGGGACUGAGACACGGCCCAGACUCCUACGGGAGGCAGCAGUGGGGAAUCUUGCGCAAUGGGGGGAACCCUGACGCAGCGACGCCGCGUGCGGGACGGAGGCCUUCGGGUCGUAAACCGCUUUCAGCAGGGAAGAGUCAAGACUGUACCUGCAGAAGAAGCCCCGGCUAACUACGUGCCAGCAGCCGCGGUAAUACGUAGGGGGCGAGCGUUAUCCGGAUUCAUUGGGCGUAAAGCGCGCGUAGGCGGCCCGGCAGGCCGGGGGUCGAAGCGGGGGGCUCAACCCCCCGAAGCCCCCGGAACCUCCGCGGCUUGGGUCCGGUAGGGGAGGGUGGAACACCCGGUGUAGCGGUGGAAUGCGCAGAUAUCGGGUGGAACACCGGUGGCGAAGGCGGCCCUCUGGGCCGAGACCGACGCUGAGGCGCGAAAGCUGGGGGAGCGAACAGGAUUAGAUACCCUGGUAGUCCCAGCCGUAAACGAUGGACGCUAGGUGUGGGGGGACGAUCCCCCCGUGCCGCAGCCAACGCAUUAAGCGUCCCGCCUGGGGAGUACGGCCGCAAGGUUGAAACUCAAAGGAAUUGACGGGGGCCCGCACAAGCAGUGGAGUAUGUGGUUUAAUUCGGCGCAACGCGAAGAACCUUACCAGGGCUUGACAUAUAGAGGAAUAACUAAGAGAUUAGUUAGCUCUUCGGAGUCUCUAUACAGGUGGUGCAUGGUUGUCGUCAGCUCGUGUCGUGAGAUGUUGGGUUAAGUCCCGCAACGAGCGCAACCCCCGCCGCGUGUUGCCAUCGGGUGAUGCCGGGAACCCACGCGGGACCGCCGCCGUCAAGGCGGAGGAGGGCGGGGACGACGUCAAGUCAUCAUGCCCCUUAUGCCCUGGGCUGCACACGUGCUACAAUGGCCGGUACAGAGGGAUGCCACCCCGCGAGGGGGAGCGGAUCCCGGAAAGCCGGCCCCAGUUCGGAUUGGGGGCUGCAACCCGCCCCCAUGAAGUCGGAGUUGCUAGUAAUCGCGGAUCAGCAUGCCGCGGUGAAUGCGUUCCCGGGCCUUGUACACACCGCCCGUCACACCACCCGAGUCGUCUGCACCCGAAGUCGCCGGCCCAACCGCAAGGGGGGAGGCGCCGAAGGUGUGGAGGGUGAGGGGGUG